AGUGAACGCUGGCGGCAGGCCUAACACAUGCAAGUCGAACGGCAGCACAAGAGAGCUUGCUCUCUGGGUGGCGAGUGGCGGACGGGUGAGGAAUGCAUCGGAAUCUGCCCAUUUGUGGGGGAUAACCUCGGGAAACCGGGACUAAUACCGCAUACGACCUACGGGUGAAAGCAGGGGAUCUUCGGACCUUGCGCAGAUGGAUGAGCCGAUGCCGGAUUAGCUAGUUGGAGGGGUAAAGGCCCACCAAGGCGACGAUCCGUAGCUGGUCUGAGAGGGUGAUCCAGCCCCAUGGGACGGGGACCCCGCCCCGACUCCUAAGGGAGGCAAGCGUGGGGAAACUUGGGAAAUGGGCGGCAGCCUUGAGCAGCCCAGGCGGGUGUGUGAAGAAGGCCUUCCGGUUGUAAAACCCUUUUGUUGGGAAAGAAAAGCAGCCGGUUAAUACCCGGUUGUCAUGACGGUACCCAAAGAAUAAGCACCGGCUAACUUCGUG
rnacentral:rRNA from 1 species